rnacentral:rRNA from 1 species
UACGUAGGGUGCAAGCGUUGUCCGGAAUUAUUGGGCGUAAAGAGCUUGUAGGCGGUUUGUCGCGUCUGCUGUGAAAUUUCGGGGCUCAACCCCGAACUUGCAGUGGGUACGGGCAGACUAGAGUGUGGUAGGGGAGAUCGGAAUUCCUGGGUGUAGCGGUGAAAUGCGCAGAUAUCAGGAGGAACACCGGUGGCGAAGGCGGAUCUCUGGGCCAUUACUGACGCUGAGGAGCGAAAGCGUGGGGAGCGAACAGG